rnacentral:rRNA from 1 species
GACGAACGCUGGCGGUGUGCUUAACACAUGCAAGUCGAACGGUAAGGCCCUUUCGGGGGUACACGAGUGGCGAACGGGUGAGUAACACGUGAGUAACCUGCCCUCAUCUCUGGGAUAACAGUCGGAAACGGUUGCUAAUACUGGAUAUGAGCUUGCAAGGCAUCUUGUGGGUUGGAAAGAUUUUUUUGGUUGGGGAUGGACUCGCGGCCUAUCAGCUUGUUGGUGAGGUAGUGGCUCACCAAGGCUUCGACGGGUAGCCGGCCUGAGAGGGCGACCGGCCACAUUGGGACUGAGAUACGGCCCAAACUCCUACGGGAGGCAGCAGUGGGGAAGAUUGCACAAUGGACGGAAGUCUGAUGCAGCAACGCCGCGGGCGGGAGGACGGCCUUCGGGUUGGAAACCGCUUUCAAUUGUGACGAAGCUUUUUGUGACGGUAGCAGUAGAAGAAGCACCGGCUAACUACGUG